AGGACGAACGCUGGCGGCGUGCUUAACACAUGCAAGUCACGGGGGGUAGCAAUACCAACCGGCGAACGGGUGCGUAACACGUGAGCAACCUACCGAUUUGUGGGGGAUAGCCGGCCUAACGGCCGGGUAAUACCGCAUACGCUUGUAAGGCCUCCUGGUCUAACAAGGAAACCUCCGGGGCAAAUCGAGGGGCUCGCGGCCUAUCAGCUAGUUGGCGAGGUCACGGCUCACCAAGGCGACGACGGGUAGCUGGUCUGAGAGGAUGGCCAGCCACAUUGGGACUGAGAAACGGCCCAGACUCCUACGGGAGGCAGCAGUGGGGAAUCUUGCGCAAUGGACGAAAGUCUGACGCAGCGACGCCGCGUGGGGGAUGAAGGCUUUCGGGUUGUAAACCCCUGUUGCCCGGGACGAACUUCUCUAUUCGUAGAGAUUGACGGUACCGGUGAGGAAGCGACCGGCUAACUCUGUGCCAGCAGCCGC
rnacentral:rRNA from 1 species